rnacentral:rRNA from 1 species
GAUCCUGGCUCAGAUUGAACGCUGGCGGCAGGCUUAACACAUGCAAGUCGAACGGUAACAUAAAGAAGCUUGCUUCUUUGAUGACGAGUGGCGGACGGGUGAGUAAUGCUUGGGAAUCUAGCUUAUGGAGGGGGGAUAACUACGGGAAACUGUAGCUAAUACCGCGUAAUAUCGAAAGAUUAAAGUAGUGGGGACCGUCGGUCGCCACUGCACAGAGU